CGGGUGUAGUUCAAUGGUAGAACCUCAGCUUCCCAAGCUGAUGACGAGGGUUCGAUUCCCUUCACCC
rnacentral:tRNA from 1 species